rnacentral:rRNA from 1 species
AGCUCCAGAAGCAUAUAUUAAUGUUGUUGCAGUUGUAUGCUCCUAGUCUAUUUUGUAUUGGGUUGUUGUUUGUAUGUUGUCUGUGCACUUUGUGUAGUUUGAUGGCAUACGCCUAAUUUUUUUGGAGUUCUUUUUAUAAGUUGCUUCAUCUUUUACUGAGACUAAAUGGGGAUGUUCCAUGUAGACUAGCGUCUGUACCAUACAGCUUGGAAUAAUACGUUAGGACUUUUGAUUGCGUUGACGCUUUGAAAAGUAAUAAGUGAUAGGAGCCGACGGGGGUGCUUGUAUUUGAGAGCCAGAGGUGAAAUUCUCGGACUUCUCAAAGACAGUCUCAUGCGAAAGCGUUCACCAAGAAGGUUUCCGU